GAUGAACGCUGGCGGCGUGCUUAACACAUGCAAGUCGAACGGAAAGGCUCCUGCUUGCAGGGGUACUCGAGUGGCGAACGGGUGAGUAACACGUGGGUGAUCUGCCCUGCACUUCGGGAUAAGCCUGGGAAACUGGGUCUAAUACCGGAUAGGACGAUGGUUUGGAUGCCAUUGUGGAAAGUUUUUCGGUGUGGGAUGAGCUCGCGGCCUAUCAGCUUGUUGGUGGGGUAAUGGCCUACCAAGGCGUCGACGGGUAGCCGGCCUGAGAGGGUGUACGGCCACAUUGGGACUGAGAUACGGCCCAGACUCCUACGGGGGGCAGCAGUGGGGAAUAUUGCACAAUGGGCGCAAGCCUGAUGCAGCGACGCCGCGUGGGGGAUGACGGCCUUCGGGUUGUAAACUCCUUUCGCUAGGGACGAAGCGUUUUGUGACGGUACCUGGAGAAGAAGCACCGGCUAACUACGUG
rnacentral:rRNA from 1 species